rnacentral:lncRNA from 10 species
GGAGUCCUUCCUUGUUGACUUUUUGGAAUAUUUUCAGCGGAAUUAAUUCAGCUCUUCUUUGUACAUCUGGUAGAAUUUGGCUGUGAAUCCAUCUGGUCUGGGGCUUUUUUGGUUUGGUGGCUGAAAAAUGCUAAAAGCCUCUAAUCCACCAUCUUUGAAAAAAAUGAAAAGUGAAUCUUGAGUGAUGUGGAGAAAGAUGCAGCUUGGCUGAGAAGCGUAAGUCUGGGAGGUGGGUGAGGAAAGACAGGAAUAGAGGGAAUUUGUACAUAUAUCUGCAUAGAGGUAAUAAUUAGUAAAAAAAUGUUAAAAAUGAACAUAUUUGAUCGACUAGAAAAGAAACAGUGUCGUGCAGAGGUUAAACAUAAGGACUAUAAACUGAAGUUGCAGGAGUUGGAAUACUGAUUCUGCCACUUACUGCCUUUGUAACUUUGGAAAACUUUCCUAAAUUAUCAAAUUAUCUAUGCCUCAAAUUCCUCAACUGUAAGUUCUAGCUAACAAUACUUUUUGUAGAUUACUGAGUCAAUGCAUGUGAAGUACUCAGCAUGGUGCCUAGCACAUACUAAACAUAUUGUAAAAAAUGCUUACUGUGAUGGUUAAUAAUGAGUGUCAACUUGAUUGGAUUGAAGGAUGCAAAGUAUUGAUCCU